UGGGGCUAUAGCUCAGUCGGUUAGAGCUACGGACUCAUAAUCCGUUGGUCCCGGGUUCGAGCCCCGGUGGCCCCACGGU
rnacentral:tRNA from 1 species